UCCCUGAUAGCGCAGUGGCUAAGACUCUGCUCCCAAUGCAGGGGCCCCAGGUUCAAUCCCUGGUCAGGGAA
rnacentral:tRNA from 1 species